UAACUGCCCACCUGAAGAUGAAACGUUCAUUGUUGGAAAUGGCAAAAAAAAAGAAAAAGCGACUACAGUCAGCCUGAGGACUGCAAAGGGUCUGAGAUCGGCUCAGAUUGGGAGGACAGAGGGAACAAUCAGUCCAAUUGUGAGGGGAAUGAAAACAAGCCACAUGUCAAUCUGUCAUUCGAGAGCAAAUGAGAGAAAAGAGGUUUUUGUAUGAAAUUCCUGAAACAUUUGCUCAAAAUUCAGAAGAUGAAAACUCCGCUGCAAAAAUGCCUGAUCAACCGUCUGGAGUGCAUACAUCCUGGGAAGAUGUGCUCCUCAACAAAUUAAAAACAUUGCCGAUAGGAGCAUCGAAGACUUAAAACACUGAUAUCAGUGCACCAAUCAGAAUAAGCCAUUUUUUGCACUAUGCCAAUGUAAUUGAUUAUCUCAUCGGAUUUAGGUGGAAACAGGAAAAG